UACGUAGGGGGCGAGCGUUGUCCGGAAUGACUGGGCGUAAAGGGCGCGUAGGUGGCGAUACAAGUCUGGAGUGAAAGUCCCGCUUUCAAGGUGGGAAUGGCUUUGGAAACUGUAUGGCUUGAGUGUGGGAGAGGAUAGCGGAAUUCCCGGUGUAGCGGUGAAAUGCGUAGAGAUCGGGAGGAACACCAGUGGCGAAGGCGGCUAUCUGGACCAAGACUGACACUGAAGCGCGAAAGCGUGGGUAGCAAACAGGAUUAGAUACCCUGGUAGUCCACGCCGUAAACGAUGGAUGCUAGGUGUAGGAGGUAUCGACCCCUUCUGUGCCGGAGUAAACACAAUAAGCAUCCCGCCUGGGGAGUACGGCCGCAAGGUUGAA
rnacentral:rRNA from 1 species